rnacentral:rRNA from 1 species
UCGCAAUCCCCAAUUUUGGCGGGCGGCCUUCAACCCCAACCAUGGCACGGGAUUUUUGGAUUUUAGUGGGGACCGGGUAGUCACCGGUAAGAUUCUUAAUUCGGGGACGGGGACAACAGUUGGAAACGCCUGCUUAAUCCCGGAUGGCCCGCAAGGUGAAACCUAAUUGGCCUGAAAAAAGCCUGGGUUUGAUUAGCUAGUUGGGGGGUAAGAGCCUACCAAGGCGACGAUCAGUAGCUGUUCUAAGAGGAUGAGCAGCCACCCUGGGACUGAGACCCGGCCCAGACUCCUACGGGAGGCAGCAGUGGGGAAUUUUCCGCAAUGGGCGAAAGCCUGACGGAGCAACGCCGCGUGAGGGAGGAAGGUCUUUGGAUUGUAAACCUCUUUUCUCAAGGAAGAAGUUCUGACGGUACUUGAGGAAUCAGCCUCGGCUAACUCCGUGCCAGCAGCCGCGGUAAUACGGGGGAGGCAAGCGUUAUCCGGAAUUAUUGGGCGUAAAGCGUCCGCAGGUGGUCAGCCAAGUCUGCCGUCAAAUCAGGUUGCUUAACGACCUAAAGGCGGUGGAAACUGGCAGACUAGAGAGCAGUAGGGGUAGCAGGAAUUCCCAGUGUAGCGGUGAAAUGCGUAGAGAUUGGGAAGAACAUCGGUGGCGAAAGCGUGCUACUGGGCUGUAUCUGACACUCAGGGACGAAAGCUAGGGGAGCGAAAGGGAUUAGAUACCCCUGUAGUCCUAGCCGUAAACGAUGGAUACUAGGCGUGGCUUGUAUCGACCCGAGCCGUGCCGAAGCUAACGCGUUAAGUAUCCCGCCUGGGGAGUACGCACGCAAGUGUGAAACUCAAAGGAAUUGACGGGGGCCCGCACAAGCGGUGGAGUAUGUGGUUUAAUUCGAUGCAACGCGAAGAACCUUACCAAGACUUGACAUGUCGCGAACCCUGGUGAAAGCUGGGGGUGCCUUCGGGAGCGCGAACACAGGUGGUGCAUGACUGUCGUCAGCUCGAGUCGAGAGAUGUUGGGUUAAGUCCCGCAACGAGCGCAACCCUCGUUCUUAGUUGCCAGCAUUAAGUUGGGGACUCUAAGGAGACUGCCGGUGACAAACCGGAGGAAGGUGGGGAUGACGUCAAGUCAGCAUGCCCCUUACGUCUUGGGCGACACACGUACUACAAUGGUCGGGACAAAGGGCAGCGAACUCGCGAGAGCCAGCGAAUCCCAGCAAACCCGGCCUCAGUUCAGAUUGCAGGCUGCAACUCGCCUGCAUGAAGGAGGAAUCGCUAGUAAUCGCCGGUCAGCAUACGGCGGUGAAUUCGUCCCGGGCCUGACACCCCGCCUCCGACCGGGGAUCCC